rnacentral:lncRNA from 1 species
GUAGGUCCAGCACAGAGAACACCGGAAACCAGCCAACUGCCUUCCCCAGCCCUUCGAUCCUACUGCCAAAGCAGUCAUCCUGCAGUCCCCGUGCCCCCAGCAGAACCCUGCAAGACGUGUGCACAGUGCUGUUCCCGCAGCGCCCCGCCGCUCCCCAGCAUCCUGCUGCAGGGAUGCAUGCAGCACAGCCAGACAUGCAGCCCAGGAUGAGAGCGAAGAUAGAAAUAAUUUUGCUGUGGAUCCAAAUGGUGGCAUCGUGCUGUACUGACUUCGUCUCUUGUCUUCAUUCCACUAGCUUUUCACAAGGACGUGCUUUGGAGGCAUGACUUUACAAAGAAAAGAAAAUGCAACACUUCAUCUGAUACCAGUUCUGUUGCGUGAGUCCAACUGAGGGAUUGCUCAAGGGUACCUUUGUACCACGUCAAACUUCAGGAUUUUUACUACUCCAGCACAGUGGACUGUGACAGAGAUACAGGUAAUAUUAAUCACCAUGGAAUCAUAGAAUGGCCUGGGUUGAAAAGGACCACAAUGCUCAUUCAGUUUCAACCCCCUGCUGUGUGCAGGGUCACCAACCAGCAGACCAGGCUGCCCAGAGCCACAUCCAGCCUGGCCUUGAAUGCCUCCAGGGAUGGGGCAUCCACAGCCUCCUUGGGCAACCUGUUCAGUGCGUCACCACCCUCUGUGUGAAAAACUUCUUCCUAAUAUCCAACCUAAACCUCCCUUGUCUCAGUUUAAAACCAUUCCCCCUUAUGCUAUCACUAUCCACCUUCGUAAACAACCGAUGCCCCUCCUGUUUGUAUGCUCCCUUCAAGUACUGGAAGG